AGUGAACGCUGGCGGUAGGCCUAACACAUGCAAGUCGAACGGCAGCACAGUAAGAGCUUGCUCUUACGGGUGGCGAGUGGCGGACGGGUGAGGAAUACAUCGGAAUCUACUUUUUCGUGGGGGAUAACGUAGGGAAACUUACGCUAAUACCGCAUACGACCUACGGGUGAAAGCAGGGGAUCUUCGGACCUUGCGCGAUCGAAUGAGCCGAUGUCGGAUUAGCUAGUUGGCGGGGUAAAGGCCCACCAAGGCGACGAUCCGUAGCUGGUCUGAGAGGAUGAUCAGCCACACUGGAACUGAGACACGGUCCAGACUCCUACGGGAGGCAGCAGUGGGGAAUAUUGGACAAUGGGCGCAAGCCUGAUCCAGCCAUACCGCGUGGGUGAAGAAGGCCUUCGGGUUGUAAAGCCCUUUUGUUGGGAAAGAAAAGCAGCAGGUUAAUACCCCGCUGUUCGGACGGUACCCAAAGAAUAAGCACCGGCUAACUUCGU
rnacentral:rRNA from 1 species